ensembl:lincRNA
GCUCUGCACUUGGACUCCCCAGCCGCCUGUGUGACUGGGUGCUCCCCGCAGACGGUGAGUGUCUUCAGCAGAACAUCAGAGCUCUUGAGAAAGUUACUUUCCGGUUCUGUGAAACCAGACUGGCCUCACUUCUUCGAUUAUUGCAGAUUACAGUGCCUGUAAUCGCCUCCUUCAAACACCUAAGCUCUUAAACCUCCUGCCUGCGAGCCCUGCCUUAACCAUGCGCUUCCAGACAUCAUGGACAGAAGCCAGCCAACAUGGAGGAGCUGACGGAGGUGGUCACAGUGGCAGAGCCUGACCCCCUCCAGUGUUGCCUGCUCAUCCACAGCGGAGGCCGACCCCCUCCAGUGCCGCAAGCCCAUCUACAGUGGACCCUGAUCACUACCAGUGCCGCCAGCUACGUCCACGGCGGAGCCUGCCCCCCUCCAGCCCGAGCCCCUCCAGGGCAGCGUGCUCGUCCACGGCGGAGCCCGAUCCCCUCCAGGGCAGCGUGCUCGUCCACGGCGGAGCCCGAUCCCCUCCAGGGCAGCGUGCUCGUCCACGGCGGAGCCCGAUCCCUUCCAGGGCAGCGUGCUCGUCCACGGCGGAGGCCGAGCCCCUCCAGGGCAGCGUGCUCGUCCACGGCGGAGCCCGAGCCCCUCCAGGGCAGCGUGCUCGUCCACAGUGGAGGCCGAUCCCCUCCAGGGCAGCGUGCUCGUCCACGGCGGAGCCCGAUCCCCUCCAGGGCAGCGUGCUCGUCCACGGCGGAGGCCGACCCCCUCCAGGGCAGCGUCUACAGCAGCAGCACAGGGCCGUCUGCCCCUGUGACACGCGGUCCUCCGCCCCGCACUGCCGGCACGCCAAGGAACGGUGGAAUGUACGUAGUGCCUGAGGCUCUGAGCGUGUGCAUCCCCAAACUUCUGCAACCCUUGUUUCUGCAGAACUGGUACCGCCGACCCACCAGGUUCAAAAUGGGUCAGAAAGCAGCGGCGACAGCUCGCAACGUCUACAGCGCGUUUGGGCCAGGAACAGCUAAUGAGCAUACACUGCAGCGGGGGUUCGUUUGCAAAGAAGAUGAGAGCCUUGAAGACGGAGUGCAGUGGCCAACCGUCAGAAGCUGA